CUCAUACCAGAAUCUAUUCCUUUUCCCUUCCUUCAUACGCAGCCUUCUUCCUCUCCUCUCCCCCAAAAACGCCGCCGCCGCCGCGUGCGACUCAAUCCGCUCUGCUCCGCCCACGACUCAGCUCGCCCUGCUCUGCCCGCGUCUCCAUGGCACUGGGUACGCUAUGCCCCGCCGUCUCCGGUCUUCUUUGCCCGUGGCGACGGCGUGCCGAUCUGGCCGCCCCGCGGCCGGGCACGAUCUGGAGGACCAGCAGGCGGUGGUGCACGGUCUGGGCGGCGGUGACCUGCGCGGCCCUGAUGCUGCACCGACGCCUCCUUCCUCCGUCGCCCAGGUCCAAGGCGGCUCUCUUCUAGCCAACCUCCAGCCAUGCAUCGUCCCUUUCUCCUUGGCGGACUCUCUCCUCCUCUAGAGAAGUAGCACGGGGCUCGUUGCUGUGCCUGAGCCGCCACAAGGACGUCGGGUGGAGGGGAUCCUGAAGUUGCUGCAGGUAGAAAACGGCGGAACAUUUGAUGUGGUGAACUAGCUGAAGGAAGAGCUAUGGUGGACAGAACCAAGACUUGCAAUGGAUGUGCAGAAAUAGCUAUAGGAGGAGCUAUGGGUGACAGAUCCAAGACAUGAGAUUCUAACCAUCUUCUUGCGAAGGCUUUCUUGCAAAUCAGUGGAUGUAACCAUGUCAUAGUUUGAUUUAAGUGACAUGGAACCUUGACAGUAGUCACAUGCUCUUUUAUCCUUUUUAUUGCUAGCAUUUUUAUCACUCUAGAUAUUCGGUUUCUAAUGUCAUUUGAAUUAAGAUCUUUUUGUCACUCAUCCAUGGAUCCUUUGCAUAUGAGAGGUAUUUUGUGUGAUUGCAACCAGUCAUUAUGUUUGGUGUUUGAACAUAUAUCAUGAUAUAUCUUGCUGGUACUGUUGUGCUAUCAUGGAAAAAACGUAGGUAGGUAUGAUUCUACCAUCUCACUUUCUUGACGAGUUAAAAUGUCCAUAUUUGUUAAUCCCAGUAUGAGCUACAGAUUAUAUUUUAUAAGUUUCCAUGUUAAUUCCUAAAGGUUUGCUACUGAUUUUAGCCUAUAACUCUUCUACUUUUAACCACUGGUUAUGCCUUUUUUUCUGGUACAGAGUGCUUUGUAGUGUCAGUGAUUUACAAGGGUGAUGCUUUGGUGCUAUUGUUCAUCGUUUCAAUGUCCCCAAAGCGGUGCCUUCAUUUUCUCUUUAUACCGCCUACAUGUUUGUAUGUACCUUUGCACUUUUGUUUGUUUUAUACAUUUUCUUAGUGCACAACUAGCUUGAUCAGGCUCGUGUAACUGAGAAACCGAGCUUCAGGGAGAUCCAAAGUCAUUUUAGAGGUUACAACACGAUAAUGGCAUUCAUAGUUUCCACCUUGAAGCAGUUACACAUUUACUAUUUUUUGUUUGUUGAGAUUUUUUUUUUGGAUUCCUAUGCAUUAAAAAAAUAGUGAAUCUUUUGCUGCAUUUAUUAGGGCUUAAGGGCUAAAAUUAUUCAGCUUUGUUACUAUAUCUGAGCAUACAUAUUGUGAACAACAUCAUAAGCUUUUGGGGAUGAAAUAAACCCAGUAUGAUCUAAGUUUCUCUCCUUGCACUGAUUUUCUUUAUCUGAAUUUACAACAACAUUUUGGCAGCGGAGAUGGUCGAUGGGGAGAUGGUCCACCUCUGAUGCAGCUGGAGACGCUGCUGGCACUUAGCCUGGACCAGCACAUGGCGGAGAACCAAGCUGCAGAGGAUUAUUUGGUGUAGCAAGAAUGAUAGUUCUAGGCCAGAGCAAACAAUGGAUAGGAAAAUAGCUGCCUUAUUAACCAAAACUGAAUACUGAAAUGAAGAUUUUUGAGAGUUCAGAUGAUAUAGUAACAGAUCUGGCUGAGUAUAUCUCGCAAGUUUUAUAAAUCUCUGUUAAAGAAAGUGGAUACUUCGCUAUUGUAAUGUUUGAAGCGCCACUUGUCUGUUUUUUGGGGUAAUGAUUUUUUCUCUUCUUUGCUAGCUACAUGCCUUUUUUUUGCACACGAGUUUUCAAUACAGUAUGCAUUAUUGUGUCUGAAGUAUCCUGUUUUUAAUUUAUGAAAAGGUAACUUUGUGAAGCGACGUAUAUAUCCUGCUCUGAUGAACGUGAUGUAGCAAAGAACCAUGCAGACAGUUAUGACCUGAUGUUUUAAUUUAUAGGACCGAGGCUUCUUGUGUCCGUACGAAAGCGAAGCUGUACCGAUUGGUAGUGGAAGGAGCGGGGCACGGGUACAUGAAGCCUGGAUGUAAUCUGCUUUAAACUAUUUUUAAGGGAAUGCAUUACAGCAUACAGCAAGUUCAGACCAAGAAAACUGGUAUUGCAUUUGGCAUGUUGCAUUUAUUCCUUGGGCUGGUGGAUGGAUAGGAAGUGGGAUUAUAUCAAUACAAUAUCUGAAUGCAAUGAUGCACCUAAAAGUUAGGCCUACCAAUCGUUAAAUAUGCAUAGCUGCCUGGUUUAGCUAUGCUCCAAUUUUUGGCUUGCCCUGAUUGUCGAUAUUAUUUGUCUCAUAACUUAAUUGAUUUCUUGGUUCUCAUCUAGGCAUUUUGAUUCUCUCAAAUCUAUUGGAAAAAGUUCAUUGCUUACUGAAGAGGCAUAUGUGCUAAGGUGACGACCAGUAGAAAGGUAUGUGUUAUUUUGCACACUAUGUGCCACUCUCCUUGUUUUGAGGAAAUGUAAGUGUUCGCUUAGUAAAGUAUCUUUAUGUUUUCAUGCAUGGAUUUUACUUUAGUUCAUAAGAAAAUUGUAAUGUUCUAAAUUUUACUUUUAACAUAUUAGGACAACUCAGCCGUGAACAUUAAAAAAGAGCAAACACGAUUCUGGCUUUGGAGUCUGAGCCGGUAUUCACUUGAAUGUGUAAAGUUUUGUGUUUCUUUUCUUGAAUAACAUGUCUAUUAUAUUUAGGUUCACAUAUGAGAUUUCUCUGGGCGAACAAUCUUCAUAUUUAUAUCAUCGUCAGUGUGGACCAUGUUUGAUAGCA